rnacentral:lncRNA from 1 species
UCUUGAGUUGUUAAAAGAUAGAACAGUCCAGUCAAGUGCCAUGUCGCUUAUUCUUGAUCAGCUAUAGCUCUGGAGUUUUUGCAGAUUUUCAAAUAAAACUCAGAGAUUCCUUGUAUGACUCUCUAAAUCUCUCUUUUGUGGUAUUUCUGGAUCCUUACCAAGGCAGUGAUGGUAUAUGCCUUCUCUCAAGAUAUGUAGUAUUUGUGGUAUAAGGCAUAGUGACAUUGCCUUCUCUCUCACCCUACUCUAAUAAGGCUUUAAUAUCUAGAGCUUAUAGGUGGGAGAUAAAGUAUACAUACUUACAAGACAUUUAUUGUGUAGUCAAACCAUGGAUCCAAAGAAACAAAUCAAUAAGCCAAAUCAAGAUGUGCAUGUGUGGCGAAUGAAUGGUGUAUGGUGAUGAUGGUGAUAACAAUGGUGAAAGUCUAAUUCUACCUUUGCUCUUUUGAGGGGAUACAUACCUUCCUUGCUUUUUGAAACUUUAUGAGGAGAAUGAGAUGCUCUUCUUUUUCUUUCCUCUCAGGUGGGUAUCUUGUACCCCUAAUUCUACUGUCGGACACUUGUCCAUUUUUACCUCUCGUCUCACUUUUUCUUUCUUUCGAGGUUCCGGGCACUUGCCCCUUUUUAUUUCCUCAUUUAUUUUUUUUCUUUUCUCUCUUUUUUUUCUUCUUUUUUUUAGAGCACUCAUCUCUUAAGAUAAUAUAGCAAGUGGUAGUAGCAAGAUAACUUGAGCAAGAUAACUUGAGCAUUUAUUUCACAAGGGAAAAACACAGAUGUUUUUGGCUAUUCUCUCCCGAAUUAGGAGUAGAAUAUUUUUAGGUGAUUCUGGAGAUGGAAAUGGAUGGAUAUAUGUGGAUGGUACUUCCGGAGUAGAAGUAGCAUAUAUAUGAGUGAACGUGCAAGUGAAUCUUGAUUUAACCACAUGACAAGCUCCUAAGGGUCUACACAGCUUGACCACACUCAAUGCUCAUAAGCAGUAAAUAAUAAAUGUGUGGCUCAAAGUCUAGCAAGCAUGUAUAUAUGGCUGUGGUAGGAAUUUAAACUUUCAUCAUACAGGAACUCAUCAUGCAACAUUUUAAAGAUUUUUCAAAGAUAAAAUUCUCUAGAAUUCUAGCAUCUCUAGGAAUAGAUAAACAGCAGCUCAACCUUCCCAUAUCAUAUCCGUUAACAACUUAGAUUUCAAAUCAAGUUUUCAUCCCACAAGUUUAGAUCUAGAGCAAGCUUUAAAUUAUAACAGUUAUGUCUAAACUUGAGAGAGAACUUCAAAUUUGCAAAUUAGGCAGAGCAACUAUUCAUCAUAUCCAUGCUAGAGUUUUAUUAUUAAGAUUCAGAUUAGCAUAGCCACUUUAUUUAUUUAUUAAACACACUAAGCAAAAGAGAUAUAUAUAAGCACAAAAUCUUUAUUUGGUUUUUCAUAGUUUAUGUAUUUUAAUAUUCUAAUAUAAUAUAAGUAUAAAGAUAGGUAGAAAUACUUAGCGAGAUAAAUGGGGGUGCUCUCCCCCAAGCUGAAUUUUGACGUAAUUUCUCUUGAUGUAGCUAGCAGAUGGCAGAGGUGUAUUUGAAAGUCAGCAGCAUUCUGACAGCGAUUAGAAUGUCCUCCGUCUGCUAGUCUUCUUGAUUCUUAAAUUCUGUGGAGCUCAAAUAGACAACAAAGCUUGUGGAACUAAUUAAGUGUUAGCAUAAAUAUCUAGCCUUCAUCACGUUGAGCUUCCUCAAUAAAUAUUACUCCUUAUUUUUUAUAUUUUUAUUUUAUAAAGUAGAAAAGAAAUAUUUAUUUUAUUUUUAUGCCACCACAGUGAAGGUACUUAUGGGUUUUAUGCCACUCGUAUACUCACAUGGGGCUUAGUAUUUUUUAACAUUUUUAUUUUCUUUUCAAGAUAGCAUGAUUAACUAAUAAUUUAUUUAAGGAAAGUAAAUAAUUAAAUGGAAAAGGGAAUGCAGAAAGGAUAAAUAUGGAUAACUACCAAUCUUACCUUUCGGCGAGGGUUUAAUGUUUUAAGUCUUCUUGUCAAGACUUCUCAUCGUGUUCAUUCUCCAGGCGCGUCAUUUGAUUCAGGUGCGGACCUUGACGUCUGCACCUUUUAAUACGGUGUCACCCAUGUUCUUCGUUUGCCCAGCAGUUCGAAGUGCGGUGUUAGCAGUAUCUUGCUCAGUGUGUUUGUGCUCGUAGUGUACCUGCUCAUAGAGACAAGGCAGAGAUCAAGUGCAUGGGCCCUGUUGGUGGAAAACACCAACAGAACCAAAAGUGUAUUUGUUCUUCUCUAACCUUAAGCAUAGUGAGCAAGACAAGUUGAUGGAUGAUAAGUUCAUGAGUGUAGUACUUAUAACAUUUGUCAGAUCAGAUCGCUCAACCUUAUGGAAAGAUAAUCUAUCUAUGUAUAUGUCUUUUUCUUUAUAUCUCUCAAUGAUUGAAUGUGUAACAUUUUAGCUCAUAUGAUUAGGAGUGUGGGAUCAUGGAGGUAGUACUAAGAACAAGGAUUAAAGGACUAAACAUGUUGAAUCAGUUGGGUUGGUUAAUCUAGAGUUGUAAAUCAUACACGUUUGUCUCUUUUAUUUAUAUGGACGCCAGAACCAAGGAGAAGCUUAUAAAAGUGAUAGUCAAGUACCUUAAGAUGUUACCUUGCUCGAAGAGUGAUGGUACAGUAUCAUCUUGUGGAAGCUUUCCUUUCUUAGCGGUUGUGCGUCGUGUUUGUGGCACCCUCCAUGGAUCAUCUCUCUAUGAUGAAUGAGCUAUGUCCUUCUUGUGCAAAUUGUUAAACUUCAUGUGUCACUCUCUUCGUCUCUGAUGUGAGUUUAUCUCAGGACUUCCCAAAUCGAUAUUGAAAGUUUUUUCUGCAGGGGUUAGUCCGACAAAAUAUACCAAUAUCUACUCAAGCAGUUUUUUUAGUUCAAUAACCAAACUAGACUCCAUGUCUAAUUAGAUUAAGGAAGGCUAUUUAACCUAAGCACCAUGCUUAAUUUAAAUGCCAAUGGAAGUAUGGCGAGUACUUCCAAACCAACACUUGCUAGUAAAUAGACAAAGGUAGCAUUCCAGCGUUUAUAGAGAUCUACUCAAGUGGAGAUGAAGUAGUGUGAUUAGUAUUUAACAAAUUGAGCAUGUCUCAAAGGUAGGGACAACCAGCAUAGCAACAUGGCAAAGGAUGUUUUUAUGUAAAGUACUCCCCCAAGCUUGAAUUUUGCAAAAUUCAAGUUUGGAUGAAUUUAAUUCAAUGUUGUAUGAUGAUUGGUUGGACAUACCUUGUGCUUGUCAUUCAUCCGAUCUUCUUGCUCCAAUCUUAGAAAGGUUAGUGACAAGAAUACCCGAAGGAAUAUAUUUUUUUUACAAUUAUCCUUAUAUGCUCAAUACACAAGGUAAUGUUGCAAAUAAUUAAAGGCUCAUGUUACGAUCUGAUCAAUGCUUAUUUUAAGACACUAAGCUUGUCCUUGGGAAAGCAUCAGUUUAUGUUGGCGAAGUGGUUUCCCCUCCGACGCCAACCUAUAUCUAGAUCAACUCAACGAGAUCUGCAAUAUUUAUUAUAGACAUAUGCAUCGACAACCGCCCUUUUAAAGGUUUUAUAAAUAGAAAGGAAGAGGGGGUUGGAGAUCUCAAGUGUGGUGAUGUCGGAGAGACCAAUAGAUUGGGAAGAUGUUGCAUAUGAGCAUGGAGUAAACGAAGUGGCUAUGAAAUAAAUUCCAUGCUCAUUAAUGUUAUCUUCGUCUCUAAUCUGAAUGUUCGGAGUUUCUCCUGGAUUGGUCUCACCUAUGUCCUCUUCUGUAGUUGGAUGAAUCUCAUCUUCAAAGGGAGUCAAGAACUCACCAUUUGAAAUUGAGCCAAAGUUAGAACCUAUUAAGGCUUCUUCCUUAUCCAUCCAUUCUACACAUUCUAGCGAUUUAGAACUUGUGAUCAAAAUAGGGGAGGUGUUAGAAUUUUCUAUAUGGCUUAGCUCUCCUUCUAUGGCAUUACUUGACAUGCCAUCCUUAUGGUCUUCAUGACUCCUAUGGUUUGGUCGUCUUGGUGAAUUGCUAGGAUCAUCAUGAGACUGAAAAGAAGAGGGAUAAGAGGGAUCUCUAAGGUCAAGGAUGGAUUUAGAACUUGUGAACAUGGAAGGGGAGUAGAUAGAAUUGUCUAUAUGGCUUAGCUCUCCUUCACUUGAUAUGUCAUCCUCGACUUCUUCAUGAUAGGAACCAGGACAUUCUCUAAGAGAAAUAUUAUUGCAAUGAUUUGAAUUAUCCCUGCUUGAAGGUCUCUUAUAGAACCAGAAGUCUAAACCAUCAGCAUCUAAAAGAUUUAAGGUCGGAAUUCCUUCCUCCCUUGGAGAAUUUUGGGGUAUUGAUGGUUUAGGAUCGAUAGCUAAAGUUUGGGAUUGAAGUGGUUGUGAUCUGGCUAUCGAAACUUCUUCUUCUUGUCUAGGAACUGGUUCUUUCUCUUUCUCAGGGAUAUAAAAGCUAGGAGACUUUCCGCUCAUUAAAUCAAUCAAAUUCCAAGCUUCACUAGCGGAUAGGUGGUGGAAAGAUCCUCCAGAGGCCGCAUGAAGGGUUUGCUUAUUUUUCCUACUAAGGCCCUCAAAAAAGUGAAUAAGAAGAACUUCUUCUGGAAUAGAAAGUUUUGGGCCAGUGAGAGUAAGGAUAAUAAAGCGGUCCCAUGAUUUGCCAAGAGAUUCUUCUUCCAGUUGUCUAAAAGAAAGAAUCUCACACCGAAGUUCCACCACUUUGGAGAUUGGAAAAUAUUUAGAAAGAAAACUACUAUAUAACUCCUUCCAAUCUCCAUGAACACUCCCUACUUUGAGUUUAUACCAAUGUCUAGCUUUUCCCGUUAAAGAGAACGGAAAGAGCUUCCAUUUAAGGGUCUCAUCGGACAUGCCUUCUAUGCGAAGGAUGUCACAGACUCGAUAAAACUCUCUUAGGUGUGUGUAUGGGUUUUCCUCACCUUUUCCUGAGAAAGGUUGUUUUUGAAUAAAUUCUAUGUAUUCGGGGUCUAUCUCAAAACUAGAUGCUAUGAUAGGCUUUGAAGAUUUUGGUGGUUCGAGAUGUGUGCCCAUAGGUCUAUGAAAUUCAUAGAUAGACAUGUUUGAAUUCAUAAUAGACCAGAGAUCAAGGAUUAGAUAAGAAGAAAGAAUAGCAGAGAUGAGGCAAAGGAUAAAAGGAAAAUAUUUUAUUUAUUUAUUUAUUUAUUUAUAAAAUGAUUAAACUAGUUCGUAGUCAACUCAGCAACCGUUUCCCCGGCAACGGCGCCAAAAAUGCUUGUUGACACUUGCUAACACCACUUGAAUGCUAGGUUGUCAUCCCCAGCAUGGCACUAGAGUGUACUAUGGUAUUUAUACGCACACAGAUAAUCCGGAAGCGCACGGAUACCGUUGAAGCUUUUACCCGGUUAAAGGUUUUAUCGUAUCCACAGGGAAAUGGGAGAACUGAUCUACGCUCUAACUUAACCAAGAUAAGUAAAUAGGUGUGAAUAGGAAAGAUGGUAGAAUCAAAUAAGAACAAUAUUAAAGGUAAGAUAACAGUGAGUGAUAAUAUGGGAAUAGAGAGUAGAGCAAUUCUAGUAUAUGGGCGAUGGUAGCAGAAUAGAGAGAAUAACUAUGGUUUCUCUACUUCAAAGGGGUAUGUCUAUGUCUGGGACGAACCACGUGAUAAGAGUACACCACAAAGGAUGCUUAUCCAUAGGCCGAUAAACCCUACCCGUCCUGCUAACGAGAGGUGGACUACACGGGACCAACGUAACUGUCACCUACGCGGCCUACCACACGAUCCAGCUAGACAGGGGAUAUCCACAAGUAAUCUAGGUCUAAGCACCACGCUUACACCUAUACUACAACUCUGACCUAUAGGGUCCUAUAGAUUAGAAGUACUCAAAAGAGUUGUGAACCAGAACAUACAUGAUUAGUAAUUGCAUAAUGAAUUAGAAGUAGAUUACCAGAGUCAUCCCAUGAGCAAGCUUGAUUAGAGCUUGAUCAUGGCGAAGUACAACCGGAGGAAGAACCGACAGGCCGGCCUCUCCUCUAAUCCUCCUUCGCUCUCCAUCUCGCUACUAUCUAGAUCUACUCUAGUUUAGAGAAGAGAGGAGAGCUCUCAUCUCUAAACCCUAGCUUUUGCUCUGUCUAUGAAUAAUGAAUAAUGAUCAAGGGGUGCCUCCUCCAGGGGCCAGGGGGUCUAGUUUUAUAGUCCCCUCAAGUGAACCUGGGCCGUCGGAUCAAACUGACAUUGAUUGAAUGGUUAUUCUUGAUCCUUUAGGUCGGUGGAGCAUAAUCCGCGAGAUUGAGCGUGAUUGGCCGAAAAAGGUGGGCGGGCGCCCUAAGGACUUGGGCGGGCGCCCUGUCCCUGACUCCGUUCGGUCUCCGCUUCCUUCCCGUGGCUUCUGGAGUCUUCUGGAUGUAAGAUAAUUGUGCGGCACGUUGAUAUCUCUAUGUAAUCCCGACGUGUGGGCCUUUCUUCCUUAUUUCCUGAUAACCCCCUGCAGAAAUAGACAAACACCAAAACUCGUGGAAUUCUGUCAGAUAAAACCCUAAGUCUAGAUGUUGAUUUCAUUUGGAUCCUUUUCUUUGUUUAUUUGAUAAUUAAAUUUGAUACUUAAGGACCGUCAACAAACUCCCCCAAGCUUACCUCUUGCUCGUCCCUGAGCAAGGAUAGACUCCGCAAUGGAUCAGAAGUUGUUGCAAUAUCUUUAAAAAUUGACGGUACACAUGCUUUUAAAUGAGGUCCCAUCUCUGAGUUAGAGUAAACUGUCAAGACUUAAAACUUACUUACUUUACCUUUCACCAUGGGACUUGUAACCGUCACUUCUGUCUUGAGUGGUUAAAAGAUAGAACAGUCCAGUCAAGUGCCACGUCGCUUAUUCUUGAUCAGCUAUAGCUCUGGAGUUUUUGUAGAUUUUCAAAUAAAACUCAGAGAUUCCUUGUAUGACUCUCUAAAUCUCUCUUUUGUGGUAUUUCUGGAUCCUUACCAAGGCAGUGAUGGUAUAUGCCUUCUCUCAAGAUAUGUAGUAUUUGUGGUAUAAGGCAUAGUGACAUUGCCUUCUCUCUCACCCUACUCUAAUAAGGCUUUAAUAUCUGGAGCUUAUAGGUGGGAGAUAAAGUAUACAUACUUACAAGACAUUUAUUGUGUAGUCAAACUAUGGAUCCAAAGAAACAAAUCAAUAAGCCAAAUCAAGAUGUGCAUGUGUGGCGAAUGAAUGGUGUAUGGUGAUGAUGGUGAUAACAAUGGUGAAAGUCUAAUUCUACCUUUGCUCUUUUGAGGGGAUACAUACCUUCCUUGCUUUUUGAAACUUUAUGAGGAGAAUGAGAUGCUCUUCUUUUUCUUUCCUCUCAGGUGGGUAUCUUGUACCCCUAAUUCUACUGUCGGACACUUGUCCAUUUUUACCUCUCGUCUCACUUUUUCUUUCUUUCGAGGUUCCGGGCACUUGCCCCUUUUUAUUUCCUCAUUUAUUUUUUUUCUUUUCUCUCUUUUUUUUUCUACUUUUUUUUAGAGCACUCAUCUCUUAAGAUAAUAUAGCAAGUGGUAGUAGCAAGAUAACUUGAGCAUUUAUUUCACAAGGGAAAAACACAGAUGUUUUUGGCUAUUCUCUCCCGAAUCAGGAGUAGAAUAUUUUUAGGUGAUUCUGGAGAUGGAAAUGGAUGGAUAUAUGUGGAUGGUACUUCCGGAGUAGAAGUAGCAUAUAUAUGAGUGAACGUGCAAGUGAAUCUUGAUUUAACCACAUGACAAGCUCCUAAGGGUCUACACAGCUUGACCACACUCAAUGCUCAUAAGCAGUAAAUAAUAAAUGUGUGGCUCAAAGUCUAGCAAGCAUGUAUAUAUGGCUAUGGUAGGAAUUUAAACUUUCAUCAUACAGGAACUCAUCAUGCAACAUUUUAAAGAUUUUUCAAAGAUAAAAUUCUCCAGAAUUCUAGCAUCUCUAGGAAUAGAUAAACAGCAGCUCAACCUUCCCAUAUCAUAUCCGUUAACAACUUAGAUUUCAGAUCAAGUUUUCAUUCCACAAGUUUAGAUCUAGAGGAAGCUUUAAAUUAUAACAGUUAUGUCUAAACUUGAGAGAGAACUUCAAAUUUGCAAAUUAGGCAGAGCAACUAUUAAUCAUAUCCAUGCUAGAGUUUUAUUAUUAAGAUUCAGAUUAGCAUAGCCACUUUAUUUAUUUAUUAAACACACUAAGCAAAAGAUAUAUAUAUAUAAGCACAAAAUCUUUAUUUGGUUUUUCAUAGUUUAUGUAUUUUAAUAUUCUAAUAUAAUAUAAGUAUAAAGAUAGGUAGAAAUACUUAGCGAGAUAAAUGGGGUGCUCUCCCCCAAGCUGAAUUUUGACGUAAUUUCUCUUGAUGUAGCUAGCAGGUGGCAGAGGUGUAUUUGAAAGUCAGCAGCAUUCUGGCAGCGAUUAGAAUGUCCUCCGUCUGCUAGUCUUCUUGAUUCUUAAAUUCUGUGGAGCUCAAAUAGACAACAAAGCUUGUGGAACUAAUUAAGUAUUAGCAUAAAUAUCUAGCCUUCAUCACGUUGAGCUUCCUCAAUAAAUAUUACUCCUUAUUUUUAUAUUUUUAUUUUAUAAAGUAGAAAAGAAAUAUUUAUUUUAUUUUUAUGCCACCACAGUGAAGGUACUUAUGGGUUUUAUGCCACUCGUAUACUCACAUGGGGCUUAGUAUUUUUUAACAUUUUUAUUCUCUUUUCAAGAUAGCAUGAUUAACUAAUAAUCUAUUUAAGGAAAGUAAAUAAUUAAAUGGAAAAGGGAAUGCAGAAAGGAUAAAUAUGGAUAACUACCAAAUUUUAAGUCUUCUUGUCAAGACUUCUCAUCGUGUUCAUUCUCCAGGUGCGUCAUUUGAUUCAGGUGCGGACCUUGACGUCAGCACCUUUUAAUACGGUGUCACCCAUGUUCUUCGUUUUCCUAGCAGUUCGAAGUGCGGUGUUAGCAGUAUCUUGCUCAGUGUGUUUGUGCUCGUAGUGUACCUGCUCAUAGAGACAAGGCAGAGAUCAAGUGCAUGGGCCCUGUUGGUGGAAAACACCAACAGAACCAAAAGUGUAUUUGUUCUUCUCUAACCUUAAGCAUAGUGAGCAAGACAAGUUGAUGGAUGAUAAGUUCAUGAGUGUAGUACUUAUAACAUUUGUCAGAUUAGAUCGCUCAACCUUAUGGAAAGAUAAUCUAUCUAUGUAUAUGUCUUUUUCUUUAUAUCUCUCAAUGAUUGAAUGUGUAACAUUUUAGCUCAUAUGAUUAGGAGUGUGGGAUCAUGGAGGUAGUACUAAGAACAAGGAUUAAAGGACUAAAUAUGUUGAAUCAGUUGGGUUGGUUAAUCUAGAGUUGUAAAUCAUACACGUUUGUCUCUUUUAUUUAUAUGGACGCCAGAACCAAGGAGAAGCUUAUAAAAGUGAUAGUCAAGUACCUUAAGAUGUUACCUUGCUCGAAGAGUGAUGGUAGAGUAUCAUCUUGUGGAAGCUUUCCUUUCUUAGCGGUUGUGCGUCGUGUUUGUGGCACCCUCCAUGGAUCAUCUCUCUAUGAUGAAUGAGCUAUGUCCUUCUUGUGCAAAUUGUUAAACUUCAUGUGUCACUCUCUUCGUCUCUAAUGUGAGUUUAUCUCAGGACUUCCCAAAUCGAUAUUGAAAGUUUUUUCUGCAUGGGUUAGUCCGACAAAAUAUACCAAUAUCUACUCAAGCAGUUUUUUUAGUUCAAUAACAAACUAGACUCCAUGUCUAAUCAGAUUAAGGAAGGCUAUUUAACCUAAGCACCAUGCUUAAUUUAAAUGCCAAUGGAAGUAUGGCGAGUACUUCCAAACCAACACUUGCUAGUAAAUAGACAAAGGUAGCAUUACAGCGUUUAUAGUGAUCUACUCAAGUGG